rnacentral:tRNA from 1 species
GCAUUCUUAGCUCAGUUGGAUAGAGCAUCAGUCUUCUAAACUGUGGGUCACAGGUUCGAGUCCUGUAGAAUGCU